rnacentral:rRNA from 1 species
GACGAACGCUGGCGGCGGGCCUAACACAUGCAAGUCGAACGCACUCGACCUUCGGGUCACAUGAGUGAGUGGCGAACGGGUGAGUAACACGUGAGAAACCUGCCCCGAAGACUGGAAUAAUUCGAGGAAACUCGGACUAAUACCGGAUACCCCCAACUGGUCGCAUGGCCGGUUGAGGAAAUGCUCAGGCGCUUCGGGAGGGUCUCACGGCCUAUCAGCUUGUUGGUGAGGUAACGGCUCACCAAGGCAUCGACGGGUAGCUGGUCUGAGAGGACGAUCAGCCACACUGGGACUGAGACACGGCCCAGACUCCUACGGGAGGCAGCAGUGGGGAAUCUUGCGCAAUGGGCGAAAGCCUGACGCAGCCACGCCGCGUGAGGGAUGAAGGCUUUCGGGUUGUAAACCUCUUUCAGCAGGGAAGAAAAUGACGGUACCUGCAGAAGAAGCCCCGGCUAACUACGUGCCAGCAGCCGCGGUAACACGUAGGGGGCGAGCGUUGUCCGGAUUUAUUGGGCGUAAAGAGCUCGUAGGCGGUUCAGUAAGUCAGGUGUGAAAACUCGAGGCUCAACCUCGAGACGCCACCUGAUACUGCUGUGACUGGAGUCCGGUAGAGGAGUGUGGAAUUCCUGGUGUAGCGGUGAAAUGCGCAGAUAUCAGGAGGAACACCGACAGCGAAGGCAGCACUCUGGGCCGGUACUGACGCUGAGGAGCGAAAGCGUGGGGAGCAAACAG